CCCUUAGAUGUUCUGGGCUGCACGCGUGCUACAAUGGCGCUUGCAACAAGUCUUGCCAACCCGAUAGGGUGAGCGGAUCUUUGAAGAGGCGUCGUGAUCGGAACAGUUGAUUGCAAUUAUUCGACUCGAACGAGGAAUUCCUUGUAAUCGCGAUUCAUCAUAUCGCGCUGAAUACGUCCCUGCCCUUUGUACACACCGCCCGUCGCUCCUACCGAUUGAGCGAUCCGGUGAAUGUUUUGGACUGGCGUCAGAAGCGGUUCGCUCCUGACACUACGAAAUUUUGUAAACCUUAUCGCUUAGAGGAAGGAAAAGUCGUAACA
rnacentral:rRNA from 1 species